rnacentral:rRNA from 1 species
UGGGGAGUAUUGGACAAUGGGGGCAACCCUGAUCCAGCAAUGCCGCGUGAGUGAUGAAGGCCUUAGGGUUGUAAAGCUCUUUCGACGGGGAAGAUGAUGACGGUACCCGUAGAAGAAGCCCCGGCUAACUUCGUGCCAGCAGCCGCGGUAAUACGAAGGGGGCUAGCGUUGUUCGGAUUUACUGGGCGUAAAGGGCGCGUAGGCGGUGCAAUCAGUCAGGCGUGAAAGCCCCGGGCUCAACCCGGGAAUUGCGCUUGAUACUGUUGCGCUUGAAUCCAGGAGAGGAUGGCGGAAUUCCCAGUGUAGAGGUGAAAUUCGUAGAUAUUGGGAAGAACACCAGUGGCGAAGGCGGCCAUCUGGCCUGGAAUUGACGCUGAGGCGCGAAAGCGUGGGGAGCAAACAG